rnacentral:snRNA from 1 species
AUACUCGCUUCGACGGUACAUAUACUAAAAUUGGAACGAUACGGAGAAGAUUAGCAUGGCCACUGCGCAAGGAUGACACGCAAAAUCGUGAAGCGUUCCACAGUUUU